AAAAAGGGCUUCUGUCGUGAGUGGCACACGUAGGGCGCCUCGGUUGCUCUUCGUGCGGAAUCGACAUCAAGAGAUUUCGGAAGCAUAAUUUUUUGUAUUUAGGGCAGCUGGUGAUCGUUGGGUCCCGGCGCCCUU
rnacentral:snRNA from 1 species